CCUAUGUUACCCAACCGCAACUCCUCUUCUCCUUUCUUACCCUUCCGUCUCCGGCAGGCUGCAAUCUCGGGCAGAGUACACCGGCUUGGACAACGCAAGGCAAGCUGUGAUCUUUCUCUCUGUUUUGACGCGGUGAGGAUCUGGGAAGGACUCCGAAUAAGAAGCUGUGGUGGCAUCGUCUCCGGCGACCUUUUCCUUGGUUUGUAGAGCGCCAGUGUCUCCUCUCCGGCAAGCCGCAACUCUGGCAAGUAGACGGCAGUGUUGGGUUGAAGCAUGGCUGGGCAGUGGAUGGCGAAAGUGGCGGUGGCAGUUUGGAUGAGUCUACGGCGAGCGGGCUCCUUCUCUUCCGGCGACGGCGGCGGUGCUUGGAGGAGGUUCUCCGGCUUGGUGGCAGUUCGUGGUGCCGGUGGGUGGAGGGUGCCACCGUGUUCCGCCCGCGGAAACGCUACAUGAAGAAGAAGAAGAAGAAGGAUGGCGUGGUUGGGUAGCUUUGGAGAGCGCGCUAGUGGCCUGUAGAUAGCUUUGUCUCUUCCUUUAAUAGUUGUUGAGGCCUGUGAGCCUAAGUAGUUGAAUAGUUAGACUGUUGUAGUUGUAGUAUCUGCCUGUGCACCUAUGUUUGAUAUAGGUGUGGCAUAGCAUCUCCCAGAUUUAUGUAGUUAGCUUCCGCUGUUCUUAUGUUGAUGUUUAGACUGUUAAUCCCUUUAAAUUAAGUUUUAAAAAUUGUUGAAA